AUUGUCAUUCACGCAAUUGUAGCACAAGUCAGCAAAGAAAACUCGUACGGGCUUUCAAGUUUUGUGGUGGUCCUUUGUAGCUUCAUGCUACUGUAGGGUAGCACGAAAUCUUCUCCACAAUUGCAGACUUCUGCAGAACUUAUUUUCCAUAUUCAGGGUGCUUCAAGUGGUAGAGCAACUGCCCUGAAAAGCUGAGACCAGAGUUGGAUCCCCAGGCCAGGAUGAAUUUUUCAAGUGCGAAGCUUUCUGAUUAACACAUAGAGGUUUUCUUGGUAGCUUCAUGCUUACUGUCAGGUGGAUGACAUUUCGUAAAUCUCAGUGAAGAAAUGUGUUGAUUGCAAAUGUGAUGUUCCAGGUGUUUAACGAACUUUAACAGAUUAGGAUUUCAGCUUGUUUAAGUGACCUCUCUCUAAACAAUCAAAAAGUUGUUCCAACAGUGUUUUUUUUUUUU